rnacentral:rRNA from 1 species
CCUACGGGAGGCAGCAGUGGGGAAUAUUGCGCAAUGGGCGAAAGCCUGACGCAGCGACGCCGCGUGAGGGAUGAAGGUCUUCGGAUCGUAAACCUCUGUCAGCAGGGAAGAACGGUCACUGUGCUAAUCAGCAGUGAAUUGACGGUACCUGCAAAGGAAGCACCGGCUAACUCCGUGCCAGCAGCCGCGGUAAUACGGAGGGUGCGAGCGUUAAUCGGAAUUACUGGGCGUAAAGCGCUCGUAGGCGGUAUGUCAAGUCAAGGGUGAAAUCCCCGCGCUCAACGUGGGAACUGCCUUUGAAACUGGCAAACUGGAGUGUGUGAGAGGAUAGUAGAAUUCCAGGUGUAGGAGUGAAAUGCGUAGAGAUCUGGAGGAACAUCAGUGGCGAAGGCGACUAUCUGGCACAUAACUGACGCUGAGGAGCGAAAGCGUGGGUAGCAAACAGGAUUAGAUACCCCGGUAGUC